UAUUGAUCGAUCACUCUCUCUUAUUUAAAUUAAAAUCAUCAUGUUUUAAUUUGGAGUAAGUAUGUGAUUAAUAGAUGUGAUGAUUGAUGGUGUUGAGAUCCAAUACAGAUACCUUAAAUUAAUUGGGAAUUGAUGAAAAGCUUAGAACACAAUACAUCCAUAAAGAAAGUGUAGAUAAUAGAUAGAUUGGGGCCCGAUCGAGGUUGGAAUUGAAGUACAUAGUAGGUGUUUCCUUCUCAAAAAUCCCAUGCGCAAAUGAUUUCAUUAGAUCUGUCGACUGUCUCUUUCAAUCUCUUCCUCCAGAUUUAUCAUCUUCUGUAGCUCCUUUGAUCUUUCUAUAUAUAUUUAUUUAGGAUUCUCCCGGUGGCAGUCUCUUACUGUACGUUCUUUGCAGGUGAUUAUUCAUCACUGUGGACGUCUGCAGAAUCACAGCUAGCUUCACAGGUCAGUCAGUUCAUCAUACCUGUAUUCUGUAUAUAUAUAUAACUUGUAAGAUUCUAAAUAAAUUAAUUAAUAAAUAAACCCUAGCUUCGAUCUUCUUCUGAUGUGGAUCGAAUUUAGGGUUUGGUGGGUGAUGGAAUUGGUACCGCCGGGGUUUAGAUUUCACCCCACAGAGGAGGAGCUGGUGGGUUAUUAUCUAACAAGGAAGGUUGCUUCUCCAAAGCUUGAUAUAAAGAUCAUUGCAGAUGUUGAUCUUUACGGAAUAGAGCCAUGGGAUCUGCAUAGUAGAUGCAAUGAUUCUGGAAAUGAGGCCAGGAAUGAAUUUUACUUCUUCAGCCACAAGUACAAAAAAUACCCUACAGGAACCAGAACCAAUCGAGCCACUGCAGCUGGGUUCUGGAAGGCUACAGGAAGAGACAAGGCUGUGUUCUCCACCAAGUCCAAAUACAUUAUCAUAGGUAUGAGGAAGACACUUGUUUUCUACAUAGGUAGGGCUCCUAAUGGAAGAAAGAGUGACUGGAUUAUGCAUGAAUACCGUCUUCAAUCCUCUGAUGAACAGCAAUCAUACUACUACAGCAAUCAUGUUCAAGAAGAAGGAUGGGUGGUGUGCCGAGCUUUCAGAAAACCAACUCCUACUCCUCCUCUUCCUCCUUAUCAUCAUCAGCAGCAGAAUCAGCAGCAAACCUUGUUGGGUACUUCUUGGUCUGUUGAUAAUCAUUACUGUGAUGAACAGCUGUUGGAUUCUUCGUUCCAACAACAGCUCCCCCAAUUGGCCGGUCAUCGUCAUCUUGUUCUUCCUGAUCAGCUCCCCCCAGAUCUGGUGGCUGCAGAUGGAGGAAAAGAUGGAGAUGAUGGGGAAUUGAUUGAUUGGAAGACACUUGAUAGCUUGCUUGGAUCACACAUAGAUGACUCCAAUAAUGGCGCUGCAUCUUCUGAUAAUUAUACAAAUUGGUUUUAGUGUUCGAUCCGUAUAUAUAUGCAUGUAUGCUGAUGAUGAUUGUGAUGGUGAUGGCAAGAAUAGUACUUAAUUAAUCAAUUGAUUGAUUUGAUUCACAGAAAUUCAUAUAGAUAUAUAUUUUAAUAAGUGUUCAUCAUUACUGUAUUAAUUAGGGUUUUUUAAAUAAGUGUGUAAAUUGAUUAUAUUGCACUAUUCAAGCUAGUGAAUUGGGGGUUAUGAUCGAGAAGUUGAUUAAAUGAAAUAAGUAUUUUGAGUUUGCUUCGCUACAGGAAAUUGACCGUUUUAAAUCGCAUAUAUAUUUCAGUCGUAGAUGUUAAUUGGGGUUAAAAUUAGGGUUAUAUGAAAUCCUAACCCUAGAGAUGUUGUCAACAUUCCCCACAUGCAUGGAAGACGCUAACAUAUCUAAUGCUAUGUACAAUUAACAUUUAACAACCAUCAUAAAAGAUCAAAACUCACCCAAACCGGCCGACUCAUCCACACAGUACGCUGGAUCGUCAACAUAACAGCUAGAACCACCGUCAGAUAAGUCACCCGAACAUACUUUACCUACGGUAAGCGAUAACGACGUCAAACUACCUAGUCGAAACAAGCUCAUAUCAAUAUAUAUAGAGUAAUCAAAAUACGAUAAAUUAAUCAUGUCUAUUAAAUCAACUUUUCGUCGUACAUGUAUUACUGUCUUUUGUAGUACAUUAUUUUACGUCGUACAUGUGUUGUUAGUAUCUUGUAUAAUAUAUUAUUUUAGUCAUUGGAUUAAUUAUUAAUGAACACGAUUUAGUGACGCACAACGACACAAUAUUUAGGUGCGUCAUAUAUAUAUAUAUAGCAUGAAACGAGCAAACAGUAUCGCCCACUAAAUUAUGUACGUAACAACCCGUAUUGUCGAUCGACGACAGCGCACAAAUCAUAGGAGACCAGAAGAUCAAUAGAAGCUAGGGGGUGGACCGCGAACCAGAAUUCGAAACAGUGAUCGAUCUCACGUAUCUCAACCAUAUAGAUCGUCGUGCGGCAUACUCUCGCGACGACUUAACUCGAUCUCCAGUCCCUCGCGACACAACUAGUUAAAGAACCUUAGAAUAUAUACUACUACAUCUAUAUCGACCAUCACCUUUGUCAGAUAUAAAAUGGUGACAUAAGAUACAAAUUGAUCUUAUAAAUGCAGAAAUUUUUCAGAAUGGUACGUCCGUUCGUGCGGAUACCACCACGAUCUGACCAACCGAUGGCCAUCGGACGGCACCGUACCAUGACCGGAACCACAAUAGUACGUCCAUGUAAACAACACUAUACCAUGGUCGAGACCGUCCGAUUGACAUCGAACGGACGUAUCGCACGGUGUUCUGGAAAUGGGUCCAUAUUAAAUGUAGAUUUGGCAAGAUAAAGGAUAUUUGUAUAAUUUUAUAAACAAUCUGAAGUGAAAAGUUAUACUACGUAAAAGCAGUGUUUAUAAUAUAAAUUACCAAUUACUGUCUUAUUUGUUCAACGACAAAUUAUGCCCGAUCCGCUGAUCGUCAGAAAAAAAUCAGGGUUCCCGCAGUAAGUAAAGCGAGG
rnacentral:lncRNA from 1 species